ensembl:tRNA
GGGGGUAUAGCUCAGUGGUAGAGCGCUCCCUUAGCAUGGGAGAGGGCUGGGGUUCAAUUCCCAUUUUCCGUU